AAUAGAAAAAUGAUCUACAACUAAAAUCUUAUUUUUUAGAAUGACUUUCAUGAAGAAGAAAAUAUGGCAUAAACAAUUGGUACAUGUGGUGGUUACAAAUCUUGCCUCAGUGGUAGAUAAGACAAUGAAAGGAACUAAAAGAAUAUAACAACUCAUACAUAAAUAUUGGAAUGUCUUCUCAAUCGACUUAUCUAGUCAUAUACCACCUAAUCGAGGUGCUUCUUUCAAAAUAGAACUAAUGCAUAGGACCAAAUUGGCCAAUCGGCUAAUUUAUUAAUUAGCAUCAAAUGAACUUGAAGAAUUGCAAAAUGCAUAGGAUGAGCUAUUGGAAAAAGACCUCAUUUGAAAAAGCACGUUGCCAUUAAAAGCACUUAUAUUCUUUGCAUCCAAAAAAAAUGGUAGACUUUGACUUUGCAUCAAUUAUUG
rnacentral:lncRNA from 1 species